AAGCUGUGUUUGAAUACUCAUACUAACCUCACUAUUUGUGAAGCAAAAUUGAGUAUAUUGUAUGCUUAUUGGUCAUAGUAUGGAUAUAGUUAACAUGCCAAAAGUUCCCCUAAAAUAAUUCACCAAAAUACAAAGUAUACACGCAGUGGACACUGUUUCCGUGUUUUUACGGCCCAUAAUGCCAUUCUUCAGGUAAUGGCUGUGGCUUGAUAAUUUUUAAGAUUGGAAGAAAAUGGUGGAAAACAUGCAGCCAAGUCCGAUGAGAGCGGAUACAAAUUCAUUGCUUGAACUAAUUAUGACAGAUGUUAAGAAAAUGUUAAGCAAUGUAAUAAGAUACCUAUUGUGAGAGUUGCUUGACUACAGCCCAAGAAAUUGAGAGCAGAAGAAAGACACAGCAGAGUCCAGACGGGAUGUUAUUGAGAAGCUAGUCAGUGGUGCUGUGUACCAAGAUUUAGAUGCUAAAAUCCCAACUGAACACAUUUUAAUGUAACUAUGUUCAACUGUACCAACUCUGUUUAUUAAAUCUCCAAAAUUCUCUUAGAAUAAAGAUAUUUCUCAAUAUCA